UUUCCGUAGGUGAACCUGCGGAAGGAUCAUUAACACAUUAAAUGAACCUAAACUAAGUUGGAAACAGUUGGGGAAGAGAAGGAGGAGGGCAACUUUCUUUUAAUUUUUCCCAAUUAAUUUUAAACUUUAUCUUAACAUUAAAAAAUUAAGCAAAAAUAAAAUUUUAAAAAUAAAAAUUUUCAACGGUGGAUAUCUAGGUUCCC
rnacentral:misc_RNA from 1 species